AAAUCCAGAGCUCGACACUAAAAUUAUGCACAAAAGAGCCUCGAAACCUAUUCUGAGUUACUUUGAGUUUUGAAUACUCAACUUUGAAUAUAAAAAUCAAGAUAGUUUACCAUUAUAUCGUUAGAAACUGAAUGAAUCUGAAAUUUACAUGGUUCCGUAAUUAUCUACAUCCACAAAGAAAGCAAGAGAGAUUAUCUACUAUAUAUAUCUAUACGAAGAAAAUAAAAAUAAGCUUACACUUUAUGUUUCUUCAGGUAAAAAAAAUAAAUCUUUUAAUAAAAUCCUAUCUUCCUUUUAUUCCAACGAAAAAGUUCAAAUAAAAUACCAAAAAUAAACUUUCUGAAAAAUCAUAAUCCAGAAAACUAAAUUAGAGAAAUAUAGAAAUUUUUGAUCAAAUCAUAGUCGAGCUUCACUACAACAAAAACGGUCUAUAGCGACACUUUUAAAUGUAGGUACAUGUCAAAAAAGUGCUGCUAGCUAAAAUUACCGACACUUUUAAAAAAUGUUGCUAUAUAUGGGGUUGCUAGGUAUAUAGUGACAGUUAAAGAGUGUCGCUAUAACCUAAAAGAGUGCUGCUAAUUUUUCAACACUUAUUUAAGCAUUUAGCAACCGCCGAAACUCUAUCUCGUUGGCUGCGGUGGAGGAGGAGGACGACAGGAAAGGCUCUUCGUAUAGAAUUUCAGUGGAUUGAGUGAAGAGAGAAGAAAAGAUGGUAAUUGAUUUUUUUUUUUUCUUUUCUGUUUGUAAUCGGGUCAAAUGGACUAGGUGUGGUUGGUUGAGUAGAGUAAUCUUUUAUUUUUAGUUGGAUUGGGCUUUAUAUUUAGGCAUAAGUAGAUGUUUUUUUAAGUUUUAGCAUAAAUGGGACACUUAAUCAAAAGUGUCCCAAACAUGUGCCCCUAUAACCUAAUUUUGUUGUAGUGCUUGAGGCGGGUGAGACUCUCGUCGACGCCAUGCGACACGCGCUUGGCGCU
rnacentral:lncRNA from 1 species